CAGCGCCCUCUGGCGGUUUCCGGGCGGGUUGCUGGAAAGCGAGAGGGACCGCGGGAGCCCGCGAUGGGGCCCGAACUCUGGCGGGAGGGUCCUGCCAGCCAAGUCGGGACAACUCGAGGAGGAUCAGGUAGAAGAAGUCAUAACAUUGGGGAAAAAAAUGGACAAUAUUGAGCAAUGCAGAACUGCCCCACGUAACUUCAGAAUAAAAGAGAUUUGGCCUGUGUGAUUGUGGAAGCCAAGAAGUCCUACAAUCUGCCAUCUGCAAGCUGGAGACCCAGAAGACUUGGUGGUCCAUCCAUGUUGUUGAAACUGGAAACAUUUCAUUAAUUCGUGAGGCUCCCAGCACCAACACCUUCACCACAGAGGUGAGCAGUUCUGGAGCAAGAGGAGCUGGAGUGAUCACCUAUGGAGUAGUACCAGCAUACCAGUUGGAGUUCCAGACCAAUCCUGACUCCACUGCGUUCAUGUGCUCCAGUAACAACUGCCCUUGCCCCACUCAUGUGCUGUGCUGAGUCCAAACGGGCUUUGUCCCCAUCAAAUGCAUUCUUUUCUUGAUUGUGGUUACCUUUGCCCUAGUCGCAGGCUGGGGUGCACAUUGGAACGGUUGCAGGAAACCAGCUGAAGUCCUGGGCAUUUUAAAUCUGGUUCCCCCAACCUAUUUGAGGAGUUAGCAAGUGUGUGUGCGCUCCUCAUGACUGGAGUCUAGACUUUUUACAGCUCCUCAGUCAGUCCAUGGUUUUCAAACCAGAUAAGGGAUUUUGGGUUCCAAGUCUCUGACGUAUGUGCGUGCAACCACUAAUUCCCCAGGCUGGCUCUCAGAGCCUGUAUAAUCCUCCUUCUCUUCUGUGUCACAUUUUAGGGGUAAAGGUCCUGACAUGAUCACUUUUCUUCCCUUCCUACGUGACUCCAUGUGGAUCUCUCUUACAGCCUUGGAUGUUUAAAAGUCUUUCUGACCAUCUCCAGUUCUAAGCGAACAUUGCUCUACAUGUAAAUGUAUUUUUGAUGUGAUUUGGGGGCGAUUAGCUCUGUGUCCUCCUACUCUGCCAUCCUGGUUUCCUCCCCUCUACAUAUUUUCUUAAACCACACUUAAUCUCCAAAUAAUAAAAAAGUCAUAGUUCCACCUUACAUGAUACAACUA